GAGGUUGUGGCUCAGUGGUAGAGUGCUUGUCUAGCACACAUGAGGUACUGGGUUUAAACCUCAGCACCACA
rnacentral:tRNA from 1 species